rfam:Daucus carota subsp. sativus cultivar DH1 chromosome 8, whole genome shotgun sequence.
UGACAAUGACGAUUUGUGAUUGGUCUCGUUCGUCGUAAUGGGAGAUUAAAUCUGCCUUGCCGACCAUUCUGAUAUAUCACCACCCAUAAACUGAGUCU